CUCCCGUAUCUCUCUCUCCCUCCUCCCCUCCCAGGCAUCUCUCCAGGUGAUUCCAGUGGAGGAGGCUCAGCUGUGGUGGGCUGCUAAGGAGUUGCAUAGAGGGAAGAAACUGCAGGAUUACAUCGGCAAGAACGACAAAACCAAGAUCGUAGUCAAAAUACAGAAGAGGGGCCAGGGGCGCCAGCCAGAGAACCUGUGGUCACAGAGGAACAACAGAAACAGAUGAUGAUGCACCACUACAAGAGACAACAGGAACUCAAGAUGCUGGACGAGGUGGAAGACGACAGUCACCUCCACUCAGACUGGUCAGACAGACAGGCCUUAAAGAGACAGUUCCAGGGCCUCAGCAACAUCAAGUGGGGUCCCAGAUAGACACACGUCUU